UACGUAGGGUGCAAGCGUUGUCCGGAAUUAUUGGGCGUAAAGAGCUCGUAGGCGGUUUGUCGCGUCUGCUGUGAAAACUCGGGGCUUAACCCCGGGCCUGCAGUGGGUACGGGCAGACUAGAGUGCGGUAGGGGAGACUGGAAUUCCUGGUGUAGCGGUGAAAUGCGCAGAUAUCAGGAGGAACACCGGUGGCGAAGGCGGAUCUCUGGGCCGAUACUGACGCUGAGGAGCGAAAGCCAGGGGAGCGAACGGG
rnacentral:rRNA from 1 species